rnacentral:rRNA from 1 species
UACGGAGGGUGCUAGCGUUGUUCGGAAUCAUUGGGCGUAAAGGGUGCGUAGGCGGCGCGGUAAGUCGGGUGUGAAAUCUCGGAGCUUAACUCCGAAACUGCAUUCGAUACUGCCGUGCUUGAGGACUGGAGAGGAGACUGGAAUUUACGGUGUAGCGGUGAAAUGCGUAGAUAUCGUAAGGAAGACCAGUGGCGAAGGCGGGUCUCUGGACAGUUCCUGACGCUGAGGCACGAAGGUCAGGGGAGCAAACGGG